AGUGGAAACGACCAUUAAUCUAUGACCUGCACACUUCGCCAUGUUUCAACUUCAUAUUGGACUGCUUGUUUUGCGCGCACUAU